rnacentral:pre_miRNA from 1 species
AAAAAGACAAACCUUGGGUUUCCGUGUCCAACGUUUGACUGUCCGUCUUAUAUGAAUUUUUUUUAUAAUUAGUAUUUUUAUUGUUGUUAGAUGAUAAAACAUGAUUAAUACUUUAUACGUGACUUGUCUUUUUAAUUUUUUUCAUAAUUUUUUCAAAUAAGACGGACGGUCAAACGUUGGACACGGAAACCCAGGGUUUGUCUUUUU